GACGAACGCUGGCGGCGUGCCUAAUACAUGCAAGUCGAACGAAGCUUUUUUAACUGGUGCUUGCACCGACUUAAACAACUGAGUGGCGAACGGGUGAGUAACACGUGGGUAACCUGCCCCAAAGCGGGGGAUAACAUUUGGAAACAGAUGCUAAUACCGCAUAACCACAGAAACCACAUGGUUUCUGUGUCAAAGAUGGUUUCGGCUAUCACUUUGGGAUGGACCCGCGGCGUAUUAGCUAGUUGGUAAGGUAAUGGCUUACCAAGGCAAUGAUGCGUAGCCGAACUGAGAGGUUGAUCGGCCACGUUGGGACUGAGGCACGGCCCAAACUCCUACGGGAGGCAGCAGUAGGGAAUCUUCCACAAUGGACGAAAGUCUGAUGGAGCAACGCCGCGUGAGUGAAGAAGGUUUUCGGAUCGUAAAACUCUGUUGUCAGAGAAGAACGUGUGCGAGAGUAACUGUUCGUGCAGUGACGGUAUCUGGCCAGAAAGCCACGGCUAACUACGUGCCAGCCGCCGCGGUAA
rnacentral:rRNA from 1 species